UCAGACAGCAGCUGGGAGGAAAUAACAGGUGACAGAAAGUUGCUUCAAGAAUCAGGUUCUAGGCCUGGCUGUGCCACUAUUUUUUUUUUUUUUUUUUGAGAGAGGGAGAGCACCAGUGGGAGAGAGGGAGAGAGAGAGAGAGAGAGAGGGAGGGAGAAUCUUAAGAGAAUCUUAAGCAGGCCUCAUACUCAGUGCAGAGUCUGAUGCUGGGCUGGAUCUACUGUGGGGUCAUGACCUGAGCCAAAAUCAAGAGUCGGAUGGCCAACCAACUGAGCCACCCAGGCGCCCCUCUGUCAUUAUUUUUGAGAACCAUGGCAAGCUCUUAUGCUCCCCUGAACCUUGAUUUCUUCAAUAGCAAAAAACAGAGAGUCUCUGGGUAAUAAGAUAAGGCAAAAUAGCUGCUACUACUUGAGUACAUCCCACUGGCAACAAGAAAGAGGACAAAAGCUAUUUUUCCAGUUCCUCUAGAGUUUGUCUCACCAAGAUCAAUAGCUGUCUGGGAGCUUGUCUCCUGGAUUCCUUUUCUCGUUCCCACAGACAGCCAACAGCCUAGCCUACCCUUCUUCACUCAAUGGGUCUCAUUUCCCAAAGGCUCAUGUUUCCUGCCAGGCAUUCCUAUUUAGGAAUAGAUAAAAGGAAUAUUCACUUGAUAGGUACUAUGGUUUGAACAUUGUUAUCCCCUCAAUAUUCAUCUGCUGAAAUCUCAACCCCUGAAGAUGAUGGGAUUAGGAGAUGGGAACUUCAGGAGGUGCGUAGGUCACGAGAGAUUAUGAGUGGGCUUGGUGCUUUAUAAAAGAGGCUCCAGAGAGUUCCCUGGCCCCUUCCACCAAGUGAAGAUAAAUGAGAAGUCUGUGAUCCAGAAGAGGGCCCUCAACUGACCAUGCUGGUACCCUGAUCUCAGGCUGCCAGGCUCCAAGACUGUGAGAAAUACAUUUCUGUUGUUUAUAAAUGACCCAAUCUGUGUGUUUUGUUACAGCAGCCCAAAUAGACUACAAAAGACCCCCAAAUUGUGGGGAUCACAACUGAAAGACCACCUGAAGGGGUGCCACAAAGGACCAUGCAUCUGUACAAAAGCACUAUCCAUUGAUUAUUCUAUCAACAACCAUUUAUUCAUUUUUUUGACCAUGAAAUGAUAGAUGGACUAUGACUUAAUCACUUGAAGCAAAUACCAUUAAAUCUCAAACCCCUUUUACUUGCCUCAGGGAUAGAGGAUGCAAAGUUC
rnacentral:lncRNA from 1 species